ACGGAAGGCAGCAGUGGGGAAUAUUGGACAAUGGGGGAAACCCUGAUCCAGCGACGCCGCGUGAGUGAAGAAGUAUUUCGGUAUGUAAAGCUCUUUAAGCAGGAAAGAAAAUGACGGUACCUGCAGAAUAAGCCCCGGCUAACUACGUGCCAGCAGCCGCGGUAAUACGUAGGGGGCAAGCGUUAUCCGGAUUUACUGGGUGUAAAGGGAGCGUAGACGGCUUUGCAAGUCUGAAGUGAAAGCCCGGGGCUCAACCCCGGAACUGCUUUGGAAACUGUAGAGCUAGAGUGCAGGAGAGGUAAGUGGAAUUCCUAGUGUAGCGGUGAAAUGCGUAGAUAUUAGGAGGAACACCAGUGGCGAAGGCGGCUUACUGGACUGUAACUGACGUUGAGGCUCGAAGGCGUGGGGAGCAAACAGGAUUAGAUACCCUGGUA
rnacentral:rRNA from 1 species